rnacentral:rRNA from 1 species
GAUGAACGCUGGCGGCGUGCCUAAUACAUGCAAGUCGAGCGAACAGACGAGGCGCUUGCUCCUUCGACGUUAGCGGCGGACGGGUGAGUAACACGUAGGUAACCUACCUAUCAGACUGGGAUCACUUCGGGACACCGGCGCUAAUACCGGAUAAUAUUUCGAACCGCAUGGUUCGAUAGUGAAAGAUGGCUUUGCUAUCACUUAUCGCUGGACCUGCGCCGUAUUGGCUAGUUGGUAGGUUAACGGCUUACCACGGCAACUAUACGUAGCCGACGGGCGAGGGGGGUAGCCGACAUGGGAACGUGGACAGGGUCAAUGCUACUACGAGACGCAGCAGACGCGAACCUGCCGCAAUGGGCGAAAGCCUGACGGAGCAAGGCCGAGUGAGUGAUGAAGGUCUUGGGAGCGUAAAACUCGGUUAUGAGGGAAGAACAAAUGUGUAAGGAACUGUGGACGGAGUGACGGUACCUAAUCAGAAAGCCACGGCUAACUACGUG